CUCUGCAGCGGUAGAUGAUGCAUGGCAACUGCGCUGUGAAGACAGCUUUGUCGAAGCGGGACGGUGAAGGACGGCUGUUAGACACAGCAGCAUGUUAUUACGCUGUAUUUAUCGUAUGCGGUUUCAUCGAGGCAUUAUAGGCACAUUAAAAUUUUCCAGAAUUGCUUUGGGCAAGUUGUAUUCUAAUUCAUCCAGCUUAAACAAACAGGCUAUUUAAAGGACAUCAGCCUAACAUAAGCUGCUUUAUUUUGAGUGAACGAAGACGGUAUAAAUAGACUUUGAAUAGUGCAACAAGUAAAUGCUUCAUGUGAAAUGGCUGGCGUUACAUCAUUGCCUGUGAGAGUGAAGUUCUGGAGAGACACUGGGCUCUUUGGGCCAGCCAUUAUGCGGAGAAAAGCUGUCAACAUGAAGCAGAAUCUGCUUAAACAUAAAAGGGAUAAGGAGGAGAAAAUGAACUAAAGACGACUAAUGCCCCCCCAUAGGUGGACGACGUCAACAAUGAUGGGGUUUUUAUAUGAUAGACAAAUGCAUCACUGCUGCUCUACAACUGUCUUUUAGCGUCUGGAAAGAAAAAGAAAAAGAUGUUUGUUUCAACCAGAAAAAUCAACGUAAUAGUAAGGUGUUUCUCCACAAAGACAGCCAGAGGUCUGUGUGGAUCCUGCCGGUAACAUAGCGUCCACCGUGCGGUUUGCACUGCAACUCAUCAUUACUGCUGGCUUGAGUCGGCGCUGCCGRAAUGACUUGUAUAAAAUAUCUGUCCUGCUCUAAGUGCUUCCAACUGGUAGCUUAAUCAUGGGUCAAACCAUCAUGCGUCUCUUCUGCAUUUAUCUUCUGUCAGAAAGAGUUCCUGCUUUCUCUCUUUUUUUUCAGAUGCAGACCAGCAUGAGCAGCAUCAGCAUCUUUCUAAAGCCAGGCUUGAGUAUCUUUAAGUUUUCCAUGGCUGGGACAUUUGCUGCCUUUUUAACAAAGUAACAYGKAACAAUGAGCUGGUCUCCUUUACCUGUAGCACAGACGGCAGUCUUGAGAAAUUUUGAGCUCAAGAGAAUCAGAAGACGGUCGCUGUAGAGUCAACAUGUGACACAGACCUGGAGCAACUCUUGAGCAUCUGUAGUUGUUUACAGAGAAGAGAGAGUGUCAUGAAGCAAAAGUUUUCGGUUCGUUGCAACCUGUUAAGAAUUCACAGCGUAGUGUUCCCUUCGCUGGCUAUCGCAAUUUUAGAGUUUGAGUUGGUCCGUGGUAAUAACCUCGUGAUGUAAAACACAAGCAGCAAAACAGAAACRGUUCAGAGUAUUUGUCCGCACGAGCAAUCUGAAGGAAAGAGUAAAAUAACUUAAAUCUUGAUAGCAAGACAGGCUAAACCUUUCAUUUAGCAGUCGUUUUUAUGUUUUACAUGAG